UAUAAACAUAUAUAUAACCCCUUUCUCAUUUUGUGUUUUUUUUUUUUUUUUUCUGUACAUAUACAUACAUACGUGAGGAACACUAUGCAACAUAUCGAUGAUGAACGUUAUACAUAGUUAUAAUAACUCGUUUUGUCACCAUACGCUAGAGACGUAUGAAAGAAAACAUGAAGUAAGGACAUCUCAGCUAAAGGAAAAAAAUUGGUUAAUAAGUAUUAAUAAACAGUUGAUAGGAAAAGCAAUGAUUUUAGAAAGUUUAUUAAUAGAACAGGUAAAAAACUUAAAGAUAGUAGAGUUAAAACGAAAAGGUCUAACGUGCAUGCGUCACAGUCACAAUAUAAAUAUUCAUGAUAAUAGUUUAUAUAUAUGUAUAAAAGAAGAAAACAGUAAAGCUAUGUAUUAUAUCAUAAACCCAAUGAAUUAUAAUAUAUUACGUAACCAUCAAUAUAUAAAGCAUGAAAGUAAUAAUAAUCCAUCAUGCAGAGUAUAUAUAAUUGUUUCACAUGAAAAGGAUAAACAUGAUUGUCAUAUGGACGAUAAUAUAAUUAUUUUAAGAACAAUAAAUAAAAUAAUAUGUGAAACAACAAGUAAAAAUAUGACAGACAAAACUGGAGACAAUAUUAACGAAACAAGUAAUAACAAAACGAUUGAGAGUAAAGAGCGUAGUAAGAACAGGGAUAUGGAGGAAAAAUGGAAUAUAAAUAAUAAUAGUAGAGUACAGGCAAAAAAACGAGAUAUACAACAAUGGAACAUGUAUGAAAACAAUUUGUUGGAAGAAGCAGAGGUAAAGUUAAUUAAUGAUAAGCAUAAAGAGAAUGGGUCCAGACUAUGUACAAAUGGAAAAUCGUUUGAGAACUGUUAUAAUGAACAUUAUUUCAAUCAACAUAAUAUAUUUGAUAGUAUAUAUUGUAUAAAUAAUAAUUGGUCAACUUUUAAUACUAUAGCAGAGAAAAAUAUAUUCCAAUUCACUAUUUUUUUGAUGAAUAUUCAAAUGAGUGAACUGAUGUUAUUUUAUGUUCUUAUAAUUUUAAAACUAAUGAUAAAAAAAAAAAAUUUUGAUGUUGAUUUAUCAAAUUUGGACAAUAGUAGUAAUUAUUUGAAUAAUAAGAAGAAUAUGUUUUUAUUAUUAACCAUAUUAUUAUUGUCAUUAUCUUUAGUAUAUAACAGAGGUUACUACAACGGCGUAUCGAAUAGUCAAAUUUUAAAUAAAAAAAAAAAAUAUAUCAUUAACAAGGUGCAAAUGUAUUACAAACAACAGUAUAAUUUUAUGAAUACAUAUGAUAGUGAAGUAGGGGGUUUUAAUAAUUUUGAAUGUAUUAAAACACUAUUAGGAUAUGAAAAAAAAAAAUAUAUAUAUAUAUUUUUACUAUUAUUUUUGUCAUUAUUUUAUAAAAUUUUAACACUUACGUUAACUAUUUUAUUAAAAAAUAUAUUACCGUUAAUAAUAGAUGCCUAUUGUAAAUUUAAGAAUUUCAUACUAGCCAAUUUAUUUAUAAUAAAUGAGUAUUUAUAUAAAAUAAUACUUUUAAGUUGUGUUGUGAAACACAUUAUAAAUUUUAUUCAUUUGUUAUACUUAUGUUUAAAUUUUAAUAAUAGUGUGAAUAUGAUAGGUAUGUAUUCAAAUGGAGGUUAUUUAUGUGCACAUGACGAACCGCGUCGACCUGGUGAUAGUAUUGAAAGUAUCAGUAAUAACGACAGUAGUAGUAAUGUCACUGGUAUUUUUAAAAACUAUAAUAAAAUUUAUACUUUUAUUAAAAAAAUAAAAGCUUUCGAUAAAUUAAUUUUUAUACAAGUUCAUAAAGGCAGUACACUGUAUUGUAAUAUAAUCCCUUCCAUCUGUUUAAGAAAUAUCAUGUUAAGAGUUUAUUAUUCGGAUAAGUUUUUAAUGGGAUCUAACGAUAGAGAACGUAGUAAUUCUAUUAUAUGUAACACUUGGGGUUAUAACAAUACCAAUAUUUAUAACAAUAGAUAUACUUAUAACAAUAAUGUUGACAGUAAUAAUGGUACUAGCAAAAACAGCAGUAACAACAACAGCGGUAACGACAGCAGUAGUGAUAACAACAGCGGUAAUGGUGGAGGCAAUAACAACAACGGGGGUAACGACAAUAAUAGCGGUAACGACUAUGGAGGUAAUGACAACGGGGGUAAUGACAAUGGAAGUAAUGACAAUGGGGGUAACGACAAUGGGGGUAACGACAAUGGGGGUAACGACAAUGGGGGUAACGACAAUGGAAGUAGCAGCAAUAAUAAUGAUGAAGGUGAUAAGAAUAACGAUAAAGAUAACAUAAAUCAUAAACAAACCGAAAAACAAGAUGAAGAGGAGGAGAGAGAAGAAGAGAAAGAAGAAAAAAAUGAAAACGAAAUAAACGAUAGUGAUAAUAAAAAAGUAACACGUGAAAACAUAAAUAAUGACAAUAGUAGUAACAGGAUGAGUCACAAUAAUAGCAAUUUAAAACAUGUGAUGCUUAUACAAAACUUACCUGAAACGAAAAUAAAUAGUUUGACUAAUAUAUACAAGGAUAGUGAUGAUAAUAGUAAUAUAAUGAAUGAUAAUAGUAGUAAUAGUAAUACUAAUGGUGGUAUAAAUGGUAAUGUAAAUGGAAAUAACAACAACAGC
ensembl:lncRNA